GACGAACGCUGGCGGCAUGCUUAACACAUGCAAGUCGAACGAGAAUCUGUGGAUCGAGGAUUCGUCCAAGUGAAGCAGAGGACAGUGGCGGACGGGUGAGUAACGCGUGAGGAACCUGCCUUUCAGAGGGGGACAACAGUUGGAAACGACUGCUAAUACCGCAUAACGCGUAGAGGUCGCAUGGCCUUUACGCCAAAGAUUUAUCGCUGAAAGAUGGCCUCGCGUCUGAUUAGAUAGUUGGUGAGGUAACGGCUCACCAAGUCAACGAUCAGUAGCCGGACUGAGAGGUUGAACGGCCACAUUGGAACUGAGAUACGGUCCAGACU
rnacentral:rRNA from 1 species